rnacentral:piRNA from 1 species
UCCUGGCCGUGAGACUAUCAGUUGUUCCA